CUCUCCUCCAGCGACGGGCUGGUUUUUGCCGCAGUCCCUGACCAAGUAUGCUGGGAGGACCAGCUCCCGCUCCACCCUGCUCCCCCUGGGAGGAAGGCUGACCCCUGCGUGGGAGUGUGACUGCUGGAAAGGCAUCCUUGCUGCAGCUGUGAGUGUGAUGGGACAGCAGAGUCACUCCUGCAUGGGAUUCUAGGGCUGGGGGUCCCAGAGGGGUGGCCUCCGCCCCUCCUGGGGGCCGAGGACUGUCACCAUGUCACUACGGCACUCUCCAGCUGCUGACCAAAGCCCUCGCUAACCGCAGCCCUGCCAUACUCUGGGUCUUUCCUCUGGAGCAAGGUGAAGAGACUGCAGCGAGGCGUGGAAUUGGGAAGCUCUUCUGGUUUUAUUAAAAACUCGUUCCACC
rnacentral:lncRNA from 1 species